CGAGCAGCAGCUGUCCGAGCACGCAGGGCUGUGUCACCUGUCAGACCCCAGCUCACCCCGAGGGGACACCCGGGCGCUGCCCGCAGCCCAACAGCUGACACUGGAUUCUACCAUGAAGUCCAGUUGAAGAAUCCCGUUUCCUGGGCUGUUGGGGUCCACUCCGGCUAGCUAUAGACCCUUGCCCACACGAUACUUCAUAGACAAAGGACAUAAACCUCUGGAAUUUGUGGAUUUUCCUGACAAUGGGCCAUGGGGCAGGAUGACGAAUUCACCAGGGGUUACCUGAAGAGCCUCAGAACCCACCUCAUAGUGCUGUGUUCCUCCUCCUUAUGGUGUGUUAUCAGCCUAAUGAUACUUAUUUGGCCCUUCAUGGUAAUGCAGCCUUCCAGCCUUGGUACACAGAAGACUAACUAAACUUUUCUCUCCUUUGCCUUCUCACCCAUGUGCCAAAGUACU